UGUUUUCUUGUGCCCAUGCAGUUAGUCAGCAUGAAGCAAUUGCAUGGGAACCGGCCGAUUGUCUUGGGCCUACACAUUGCUCAAAAGACAGUGAAGGUGUCUGAGCCGACAGGUAGAAAACAAGCAGAUGGCUACAGCGAUCAAUGAAGAAAUGGCUUCAUCUAUGAUGGCUCGCCUUAGGACAUUGGAAUGGAGCUACACAAAGGCAUCACCAGCCUCGCCUGUGCCCUGGAACAUUGGUUUGAAUAAGACUGUUCUUCAGUGUAGAACGACCACAAGACUUGUCACCUCAUACAAGGCGUAGUGCAAGCUCUAGAUAUUGUACAGGUGGCUAGAAUAAAUGACCCUCCAUGCAGUCA